GAUAACGGCGUCGAGCGGCGGACGGGUGAGUAAUGCCUAGGAAAUUGCCCUGAUGUGGGGGAUAACCAUUGGAAACGAUGGCUAAUACCGCAUAAUGCCUACGGGCCAAAGAGGGGGACCUUCGGGCCUCUCGCGUCAGGAUAUGCCUAGGUGGGAUUAGCUAGUUGGUGAGGUAAUGGCUCACCAAGGCGACGAUCCCUAGCUGGUCUGAGAGGAUGAUCAGCCACACUGGAACUGAGACACGGUCCAGACUCCUACGGGAGGCAGCAGUGGGGAAUAUUGCACAAUGGGCGCAAGCCUGAUGCAGCCAUGCCGCGUGUGUGAAGAAGGCCUUCGGGUUGUAAAGCACUUUCAGUCGUGAGGAAGGUGGUGUAGUUAAUAGCUGUAUCAUUUGACGUUAGCGACAGAAGAAGCACCGGCUAACUCCGUGCCAGCAGCCGCGGUAAUACGGAGGGUGCGAGCGUUAAUCGGAAUUACUGGGCGUAAAGCGCAUGCAGGUGGUUUGUUAAGUCAGAUGUGAAAGCCCGGGGCUCAACCUCGGAAUAGCAUUUGAAACUG
rnacentral:rRNA from 1 species